CUAGCCAACUGACGUUGUUAGUGAACCUUUAUUGUUCACACAAAAUAUAUGACCAAUCACCCUUUUGUGAUUGGUUUUUUUUUG
rnacentral:misc_RNA from 1 species